UGGGGAAUAUUGCACAAUGGAGGGAACUCUGAUGCAGCGACGCUGCGUGAACGAAGAAGGCUUUCGAGUCGUAAAGUUCUUUUAUAUGGGAAGAUAAUGACGGUACCAUAAGAAAAAGCCCCGGCUAACUACGUGCCAGCAGCCGCGGUAAUACGUAGGGGGCUAGCGUUGUCCGGAAUCACUGGGCGUAAAGGGUUCGCAGGCGGAAAUGCAAGUCAGGUGUAAAAGGCAGUAGCUUAACUACUGUAAGCAUUUGAAACUGCAUAUCUUGAGAAGAGUAGAGGUAAGUGGAAUUUUUAGUGUAGCGGUGAAAUGCGUAGAUAUUAAAAAGAAUACCGGUGGCGAAGGCGACUUACUGGGCUCAUUCUGACGCUGAGGAACGAAAGCGUGGGUAGCAAACAGG
rnacentral:rRNA from 3 species